ACCCAGGGAUAGAUCAACUGGUAAAGUAUGAAACUCUUCAUCUCAGGGUUGUGUGUUCAAGCCCCAUGUUGGGCA